rnacentral:other from 1 species
CAAUCCCUGCGUGGUUCGUGAUCACCACUUUGUUUUGAGCCAACAGAGUGUUUACGGGGGCCGGAAUCCUGCGCGGGUCUGCUCUCCCUCCGGGGAGACUGGCUCGACGGAAGGCUCCCACCUGCGAAAGCAGGUUCAGAACUGUGGUCACACGGCCUCGUGGGGAUUGU